GGUGACUUCUGCUGUCGCAUUGUAUACGUCGUAAUGCCAGUUCAAAUUUGCUCGCAACGUUGGACGGUUGUGUUUUAAGGCGCGGGCAAUUUUUCGAUUUUUAAUGAAAUUUGUGUUACAUUUCAUAACUUAAACGACAAAAUUGUGACUUUAGAUGUGAUUCUUUCGUGAUCAUAUACCACUGUAAAAUUGCCUUAAAUAAUUGAACCUAAAAUUAGUGCAGCUUUAUUACAUACCACAUUUCGAUCAAUCAGUUUAAACCGGUGCAUUACACACGAAUAUUCAUCGAAUCACGUCUAUUUUUGUGCAAAGUGAAUUCAAUAUAGGUAUCGCAUUAAAUUCAGUUGCAUGGCAGAAAAAGCAGCCACUUCAAAUCCAGUUACCAGAAAUUGCCAUUGUAUUCAUCGAGUUUUUAACCGAAAUCGUAUCUAAUCAAAGAGGAGCUAUUCACAAUUACUACAAGCUAAACUAUACGGUUGCAAACAGCGUAUAUAAUUGAAUGAUGUUACACUAUAACUCAAUGAGACGAAGUACAAUGAAGUGUCUGACUGCUGAACGAAGUCAGUCAACCACAGAUAGCGUUAGAUUAUCACCAAUCGAAGGAUUGACCUACAAAAUGCGAUCCUGCCAACAGUGUUCAGUAUUCAUAGUUUUAGUCACCUUAGUAGCCUUAAUUGGUAUUGUUUCUCCCAACCCAGUGCAGACGACCACGCAAGCUGAGAUUUAUCUAUCACAAUUCGGUUAUCUGCCUGCAUCAGCCCGUAAUCCUGCAAACGGCGGUUUACUUGAUGCAACCACAUGGACUAAAGCUGUGCAAGAUUUCCAGAGUUUUGCUGGCUUAAAUGUAACCGGAGACUUGGAUGGAGAAACUUUGGAGCUAAUGUCAUUGCCCCGGUGUGGUGUUAGGGAUAAGGUGGGAUUUGGCACCGAUAGUCGUUCUAAGCGAUACGCUUUACAGGGAAGCAGGUGGCGUGUAAAGGCCUUGACAUAUAAGAUUUCUAAAUAUCCUAAACGACUCAAACGCAACGACGUUGACGCCGAAAUAGCACGCGCUUUCAGUGUAUGGAGCGAUUUCACAGAUUUAUCAUUUACUCCGAAGGCUUCUGGACCAGUUCACAUAGAAAUUAAAUUCGUUGAAAGCGAACAUGGGGAUGGUGACGCAUUCGAUGGGGUCGGUGGUACCUUGGCUCACGCAUUCUUUCCUGUCUUUGGCGGUGAUGCACAUUUUGAUGAUGCUGAGUUAUGGACAAUUGGAUCACCUCGUGGCACAAACCUUUUCCAAGUUGCAGCCCACGAGUUUGGCCAUUCAUUGGGCUUGUCUCACUCAGAUGUGCGUUCUGCUUUGAUGGCUCCGUUUUAUCGUGGAUUUGAUCCCGUAUUCAAACUUGACUCCGACGACGUUCUAGCUAUUCAAGCUCUGUAUGGUAAGAAAACUGUCGGAGUAGCUGAUCGUGGUGGUUUUCCAAAAACUACCCAAAGACCAGUGAUUUCACCACCAAAAGUUCCACGGGACGACCUCAUUUGCAAAGAUCCAAAAGUUGACACCUUAUUUAAUUCAGCCGAUGGACAAACAUAUGCAUUCAAAGGAAACAAAUAUUACAGGCUUACUGAAAACUCCAUUGCAGACGGCUAUCCCAAACUUAUAUCGGAUGGCUGGGCGGGUUUACCAGGCGAUAUAGAUGCAGCAUUUACAUACAAAAAUGGCAAGACAUACUUCUUCAAGGGUACCAAAUAUUGGCGUUACAAUGGACGACAAAUGGAUGGUGAUUAUCCAAAAGAAAUUAGUGAAGGAUUUACAGGAAUACCAGAUCAUUUGGAUGCUGCUAUGGUUUGGGGAGGUAAUGGCAAAAUUUACUUCUACAAGGGUAGUAAAUUUUGGCGCUUCGACCCACUAAAGCGGCCGCCAGUUAAAUCAAGUUAUCCAAAACCAAUCUCAAAUUGGGAAGGCCUGCCAAAUAAUAUUGAUGCUGCAUUGCAGUACACCAAUGGCUAUACAUACUUUUUCAAGGGUGAUAAAUACUACAGAUUCAACGACAGGACAUUCUCGGUUGACGCGGCAAAUCCGCCAUUCCCUCGACCAUCUGCACACUGGUGGUUCGGAUGCAAAAAUGUGCCGUCAUCAACAGGUAAUAUAAUUGAAAAUUCCUACGAACCAUUUUUGCACUCGGCAUACAACAAUGAUGAAAAUGACGAAUCACUACAAUUCGAAGCAGGCAGACAAUCCAGCACAUCGUUAUUAUCAUCCAGCUUCCUCAUUCAUCAAAACAUUACAUAUCGUUGUCUUCGUCAAACUAUGUCCAGCUCAUGGAGGUUGUGCGUCCUGCAGCAGUAGCAACAGUUGAAGCUGCACAGUUACGAGUAAUAUAAAUUCCAAGAAAGAGAAAACUAGCGCUUACUUCUGUGGUCGCACCGUCUCCAUGCCGUAUUUCCUGCUUACAUGCGACGAGUAUUAAUAUGACAAGAUUGCUUGCUAAGCCACAACACCACACGAAAUGACGACCAUCAAGCUCAUGACGAGUCUCCGGAAGUCGAUGUUUCGAGAAAAAGCAAUUCUGCGAACAAAUAUUAUACAUC
rnacentral:misc_RNA from 1 species